rnacentral:rRNA from 1 species
GAUGAACGCUGGCGGCGUGCCUAACACAUGCAAGUCGAACGAAGCACCUUACCUGAUUCUUCGGAUGAAAGUUUGGUGACUGAGUGGCGGACGGGUGAGUAACGCGUGUGUAACCUGCCCUGUACAGGGGGAUAACAGCUGGAAACGGCUGCUAAUACCGCAUAAGCGCACGAGGAGACAUCUCCUUGUGUGAAAAACUCCGGUGGUACAGGAUGGGCCCGCGUCUGAUUAGCUGGUUGGCAGGGUAACGGCCUACCAAGGCAACGAUCAGUAGCCGGUCUGAGAGGAUGAACGGCCACAUUGGAACUGAGACACGGUCCAAACUCCUACGGGAGGCAGCAGUGGGGAAUAUUGCAAAAUGGGGGAAACCCUGAUGCAGCAACGACGCGUGAGUGAAGAAGUAUUUCGGUAUGUAAAGCUCUAUCAGCAGGGAAGAUAAUGACGGUACCUGACUAAGAAGCUACGGCUAAAUACGUG